rnacentral:rRNA from 1 species
GACGAACGCUGGCGGCGUGCUUAACACAUGCAAGUCGAACGGAAAGGCCCUGCUUUUGUGGGGUGCUCGAGUGGCGAACGGGUGAGUAACACGUGAGUAACCUGCCCUUGACUGUGGGAUAACUUCAGGAAACUGGGGCUAAUACCGGAUAGGAGCUCCUGCUGCAUGGUGGGGGUGGGAAAGUUUCGGCGGUUGGGGAUGGACUCGCGGCUUAUCAGCUUGUUGGUGGGGUAGUGGCUUACCAAGGCUUUGAAGGGUAGCCGGCCUGAGAGGGUGACCGGCCACAUUGGGACUGAGAUACGGCCCAGACUCCUACGGGAGGCAGCAGUGGGGAAUAUUGCACAAUGGGCGGAAGCCUGAUGCAGCAACGCCGCGUGCGGGAUGACGGCCUUCGGGUUGUAAUCCGCUUUCGCCUGUGACGAAGCGUGAGUGACGGUAAUGGGUAAAGAAGCACCGGCUAACUACGUG